GACGAACGCUGGCGGCGUGCUUAACACAUGCAAGUCGAACGGUAAGGCCCUUCGGGGUACACGAGUGGCGAACGGGUGAGUAACACGUGGGUGAUCUGCCCUGCACUUCGGGAUAAGCCUGGGAAACUGGGUCUAAUACCGGAUAGGACUCCGGACUGCAUGGUCUGGGGUGGAAAGCUUUUGCGGUGUGGGAUGGGCCCGCGGCCCAUCAGCUUGUUGGUGGGGUGAUGGCCUACCAAGGCGACGACGGGUAGCCGGCCUGAGAGGGUGACCGGCCACACUGGGACUGAGAUACGGCCCAGACUCCUACGGGAGGCAGCAGUGAGGAAUCUUCCCAAUGGGCGAAAGCCUGAUGGAGCAACGCCGCGUGCAGGAUGAAGGCCUUCGGGUCGUAAACUGCUUUUAUAAGUGAAGAAUAUGACGGUAACUUAUGAAUAAGCACCGGCUAACUACGUGCCAGCCGCCGCCGUAA
rnacentral:rRNA from 1 species